rnacentral:rRNA from 1 species
GUGAGACUGCGGGCGACAAGGUUCGUAGUCGAGAGGGAAACAGCCCAGACCGCCGGCUAAGGUCCCGAAUGUAUGCUAAGUGUAAAAUGAUGUGCCGAUGGCGAAGACAGCCAGGAGGUUGGCUUAGAAGCAGCCAUUCCUUAAAAGAGUGCGUAAUAGCUCACUGGUCGAGUCAUGACGCGCAGACAAUGUAACGGGGCUAAGCAUACAACCGAAGCCGCGGAUUUCACCAAGCAAUCUUUCGGAUGGUAGGGGAGCAUUCCACGGACCGACGAAGGUAUACUGUAAGGUGUGCUGGAGGGGGUGGAAGAGAGAAUGCAGGUAUAAGUAGACGAAAAGAAGGGUGAGAUCCCCUCCGCCGAAAGCCUAAGGAUUCCUGGGUAAAGGUCAUCUGCCCAGGGUAAGUCGGCCCCUAAGGCGAGGACGAAAGUCGUAAUCGAUGGGAAACUGGUUCAAAUUCCAGUACCUUUCUUGGUUUUUAUGGAAUGACCCCGGAGGUGAACCCCGGCCGGCCAACGGUUGCCCCGGUCAAACCUUCAAGUUAUGCGCGGUGUAGGCGAAUCCGCAUUGGAAGAUGAGAAGCGACACCGAGCGCAGCUACGGCGAACCGAAGCGGGCGUAGUCCCGGUGCCUAAAAAUAAUCUCUAAAGCCAGGCUGAACAAGACCGUACCGGAAACCGGCACAGGUGGGCGGGAUGAGAAAGCUCAGGCGCUA